rnacentral:rRNA from 1 species
GGAACGAAAAAAUGACGGUACCAGCAAAGGAAGCAUCGGCUAACUACGUGCCAGCAGCCGCGGUAAGACGUAGGAUGCGAGCGUUGUCCGGAUUUAUUGGGCGUAAAGAGUUCGUAGGUGGCUUGUCAAGUUUGAUGUUAAAGAUCUGGGCUCAACCCUGGGACUGCAUUGAAUACUGGCAGGCUUGAGUGUGGUAGAGGCUAGUGGAAUUCCCAGUGUAGCGGUGAAAUGCGUAGAUAUUGGGAAGAACACCGGUGGCGUAGGCGACUAGCUGGGCCAUAACUGACACUGAGGAACGAAAGCCAGGGUAGCGAAUGGGAUUAGAUACCCCAGUAGUCCUGGCCGUAAACGAUGGAUACUAGGCGUAUCGGGUAUCGACCCCUGAUGUGCCGCAGCUAACGCGAUAAGUAUCCCGCCUGAGUAGUACGGCCGCAAGGUUGAAACUCAAAGG